rnacentral:rRNA from 1 species
AUUGAACGCUGGCGGCAUGCCUUACACAUGCAAGUCGAACGGCAGCACGGGAGCAAUCCUGGUGGCGAGUGGCGAACGGGUGAGUAAUAUAUCGGAACGUGCCCGGUCGUGGGGGAUAACGUAGCGAAAGCUACGCUAAUACCGCAUACGAUCUACGGAUGAAAGCGGGGGAUCGCAAGACCUCGCGCGAUUGGAGCGGCCGAUAUCAGAUUAGGUAGUUGGUGAGGUAAAGGCUCACCAAGCCGACGAUCUGUAGCUGGUCUGAGAGGACGACCAGCCACACUGGGACUGAGAC